rnacentral:rRNA from 1 species
GACGAACGCUGGCGGCGUGCUUAACACAUGCCAGUCGAACGGUGAAGCGCUUGCCUUUUUGGUGGGUGUGGAUGAGUGGCGAACGGGUGAGUAACACGUGAGUAACCUGCCCUCUUCUUCUGGAUAACCUCAUGAAAGUGGGGCUAAUACGGGGUAUUCCGGGUCUGUCGCAUGGCGGGUUUGGGAAAGAUUGCGCCUUUGGGUGUUUUCGGUGGGGGAUGGGCUCGCGGCCUAUCAGCUUGUUGGUGGGGUGAUGGCCUACCAAGGCGGUGACGGGUAGCCGGCCUGAGAGGGUGGACGGCCACACUGGGACUGAGACACGGCCCAGACUCCUGCGGGAGGCAGCAGUGGGGAAGAUUGCACAAUGGGCGCAAGCCUGAUGCAGCGACGCCGCGUGAGGGAUGGAGGCCUUCGGGUUGUGAACCUCUUUCGCCAGUGAAGCAGGCCUGCUCCUGUGUGGGUGGGUUGACGGUAGCUGGAUAAGAAGCGCCGGCUAACUACGUG